GCGCCAUGGCGCUGUCCUGGCUGCAGCGCGUCGAGCUUGCGCUCUUUGCUGCCGCCUUCCUGUGCGGGGCCGUGGCGGCCGCGGCGAUGACUCGGACCCAGCAGCUGCAUCGAGGACUCCCACAGAGGUGCUAUAGGGCUGCGCAUUGCACUGGCCAUCUCAGCUAUAGCCGUCUUCCUGGUCUUGGUGUCUGCCUGUAUCCUUCGAUUUGGCACCAGGUCUCUCUGCAACUCCAUCAUCUCCUUGAACACUACAAUUAGCUGUUCUGAAGCCCAGAAAAUUCCAUGGACACCCCCUGGAACUGCUCUGCAGUUUUACUCCAACCUACACAAUGCUGAAACCUCUUCUUGGGUGAAUUUGGUAUUGUGGUGUGUGGUCUUGGUGCUCCAGGUCGUGCAGUGGAAGUCUGAAGCCACCCCAUACCGGCCUCUGGAGAGGGGUGACCCUGAGUGGAGCUCUGAGACAGAUGCUCUCGUUGGGUCACGCCUUUCCCAUUCCUGAAGAAUAAGCGGAGUGCUUCCUGCAGCCGAAGACUCCAUGCCCAAGUGCCUGUAAUCCCCCCCC
rnacentral:lncRNA from 1 species